GCGGACGGUUCCUGUUCCGCCUCGAAGCGAUCCGGGGCUCCAACUCUCGCGACCAUUUCCUCGGUCUCUAUGGCGGUGGUGGCAGAGCCCGCGCAACGGGAGGGUGGUGGUGUGCGUGUCCUCCCAUGCUUGCAACCUUCCAUCCCCUGUUCGAAUGUUUUUGGUUUCGGGAUUAAUGGAACGAAAUGGGUGGAUGCCCUGAGAAUAAAUUUAGGUUGCACUCGACAAUUUGAUGCUUCGGAAGUUGAGACCAACUUGAUGCAGCGUCGGUAGCAUCAUCUUGGUGGGGAUCUCAUGGUUGCACAAGGAUCAAAUAGGUUACUAGUCAUCGAACUAUCGAUGCCAUUAGAUGGCGUCCCGCCUUUGCUUUCUUGUCCAAAAACCUGAGAGGUUUGUUUUGGGGCAGCGGCAACAAUGGCGGUAGAACUGUUGUGUUUGGGCGGAAGGAUUGAUAACUAUUUGAUGAUUAGGCAAUGCUAAUAUUGCAAAUGA